GCAGAAAAGCCAACCGUGGUCCUGUGAUCUGCGCUUGGCUAAGACAAAUCAGCACAAACACAACAGGUCCCAUUUUCCAGUUGCAAAGAAAUCCAGGGCAAAGAGCUCUGUAAUGAAAAUUAACAACUGAAAAACUUCAGUUAGGUUUACACGGCAUUGGAGGGAGGCAGGAGAGUUCAGAAGCAGUAUUCAGCAGGCACAUUUCUGAUCAGCAAGGUCUCUGGACAGAGCACAAAGCUACGUACGUAUAUGACUUACCAACCUUGAUUUUAGCAAGUUACUCACAUCCUGCUUUAAUAAUUUGUCAUAUCAAGAAGAAGGGAGAGGUUGUGGGUGGAAUUAAUUCUAUAACCAUUUAUUUUCAUAAAAUCUUAAUAAUUGGAAAUAGCACAGUUCAGGAACGGAAAUAUUCCAUAUAAAAGAACAUGAAGGUUGUUCACACACACAGGAGUUUGCACAACAAAUAAGAGGUGAUGUAGCAUGCAAUUACCAGAUCUAGGGGUGUGGCAGUGACAAGCUGUUCUACCUUUGUUCAAAUUAAAGCAAUUCAAGUGUAUCACCAAGAGGGACAAUGAGGGACUGAGUGAAUAAGCUGAACCACUCACUUUCCUGCACGCUGCGAUAAACGCACUUAUUGCUAAGCUUGUAGCAACAUUAUGCUCUUACUUUUCCAAAUGGACAAAUUAUACAUCCUGUGAGUGAACUGCAAGCUUCCCUUCAUACUAUUUCUCACUUCCUCACUUCACUGAGCUUUGCCAACAGCAGCAGCAGUUUAUAAUAUAUAUGUGAACGCAGACUUUGCAUGUCCAUACUCUAGACACGUCUGAACAAAAACAGGUAAGGAAGGACACUUGUCCACAGUGAUUUGUCAUGACAGAGCAAAAGGACAGAUUUCCCAAAACAUGAUGAGGAUUCUGUACAAAAGUCCAUUGAAAGGAUCAGUUUUCUGUUUUCAGAGGGGUUCUCCACUGGGACUGUCUCAGUCUCACUGGGACAUUCCGACUGCUUUUUCUCCUUGCUGGAGAUUCCACUUUCCACUCCCGUGGCACGGAUGGCAGUUUCUCCGGUGAUGUCAAACAGAUAAUAUCUCCCGGCUGCUCCUCAGCCUCUUUAUUCUCUCGAGCAGAACCAGGUGUGUGUGUCAAGCUGAUGUAACUGACCCCAGCACCAAAAGUCAAGUCAUUAAUGGUCUCUGAAAGAAAACAAAACACAUAAGCCAGCUGCCUGUGACACAGCCAGAGGGAAGACAUGCUGCAGUCUAAUACUCAGGUGUUACACAGAAUAAGUAUAUCCAGUUAACUGCAAGCAGUUAAGCAAAGCAUCUCUUUUCAAACCCAGCAGCCUCAAAAAGAGGCACCAAAUCUGAUGGGCCAUCUGUGCACAGUUUCAUACUCCUGAAUUACAGCCUUCCCUGCAUGUGGAGGAAACUAAUUUACAUGUGGGACCUCCACGGUGCACCUCCUUGUCCUGCCUUAGGUGCUAGAGCCACACCUCCCAUUGCAGCUCAGCCAUCAUCCAGAACCACAGCACCUCAUGAACUGCCCUCAACACCAGAGUCAGACUAUUUACGUGGCUCAGCCAAGGCAGAAUGUGGGGCCCUUGAAGAUUGACAAAGGAUUUGAACAGCCCUUCCAAGAGGAACUGUCUGCAGCCAGACGAGGAAUCACUUGACAGGGAAGCUAGGUAGAAUUUAGCUUGUCUGAACAGGCCAUACUUGUCAGCUGUCACUUUCCUGUCAUUUAUCUCAGGAGAGAUGUCACCGUAUUCAGAUUUUUCUUUUCUCAGCUCUCUGUUUUAUGCUCCUGUUUCCCAGAAACCUUCACAAGGAAUUACAGUAGAAAAUGCUUUAUUGAGUAGGAAAUGGAAACUCUGCUAAAGAACUGCCAUCAAGUGAGGCUUCCCUUGCAAUCAAAGAAAGGUAUUAUCUUCUAAACAUGUGUUUAUGUAUCACAGUGAAUAAAUCUACACUUGUCCAGACCCACUCAGCCAUUCUCAAAGUAAUGAGCAGGAGAGAUAAGGAGGUGACAGACAGGGGGGACAGACUGA
rnacentral:lncRNA from 1 species